GAUGAACGCUGGCGGCGUGCCUAAUACAUGCAAGUCGAGCGAACGGACGAGAAUCUUGCUUCUCUGAUGUUAGCGGCUGACGGGUGAGUAACACGUGGAUAACCUACCUAUAAGACUGGUAUAACUUCGGGAAACCUGAGCUAAUACCGGCUGAUAUUUUGAACCGCAUUGUUCAAAAGUGAAAGACGGUCUUGCUGUCACUUAUAGAUGUAUCCGCGCUGCAUUAGCUAGUUGGUAAGGUAACGGCUUACCAAGGCAACGAUGCAUAGCCGACCUGAGAGGGUGAGCGGCCACACUGGAACUGAGAAACGGUCCAGACGCCUACGGGAGGCAGCAGUAGGGAAUAUUCCGCAAUGGGCGAAAGCCUGACGGAGCAACGCCGCGUGAGUGAUGAAGGUCUUCGGAUCGUAAAACUCUGUUAUUAGGGAAGAACAUAUGUGUAAGUAACUGUGCACAUCUUGACGGUACCUAAUAAGAAAGCCACGGCUAACUACGUG
rnacentral:rRNA from 1 species